UUGCCUCGCAUGAAGCAACUAUUCGAUUCCUCAAAUCAUUCUCAUUCCCAAUUGGGGUGGUAUCAACCAUUUCAAAAUUUGUAAA